GAUGAACGCUAGCUACAGGCUUAACACAUGCAAGUCGCAGGGUAACAUGAGGAAAGCUUGCUUUCCUUGAUGACGACUGGCGCACGGGUGAGUAACGCGUAUCCAACCUUCCCAUAACUACGGGAUAACCCGUUGAAAGACGGCCUAAUACCGUAUGAUAUCGUUUGCUGACAUCAAAUAACGAUUAAAGGUUUAGCGGUUAUGGAUGGGGAUGCGUCUGAUUAGCUUGUUGGCGGGGUAACGGCCCACCAAGGCGGCGAUCAGUAGGGGUUCUGAGAGGAAGGUCCCCCACAUUGGAACUGAGACACGGUCCAAACUCCUACGGGAGGCAGCAGUGAGGAAUAUUGGUCAAUGGGCGAGAGCCUGAACCAGCCAAGUAGCGUGCAGGACGACGGCCCUAUGGGUUGUAAACUGCUUUUAUGUGGGGAUAAAGUGCGUGACGUGUCAUGCAUUGCAGGUACCACAUGAAUAAGGACCGGCUAAUUCCGUG
rnacentral:rRNA from 1 species